CUUUGGAGUUCACGCAGCCUAACCUUUUCCGCUAGUUCUGGAAACCUGUUGCUCUUCAGACGCGUUUCUAAUCCCGAGAAACUUCCAAAGAACUUUCGAUAGAACUAAUGAAAGGAUAAGGUGUUUGUUCUGUAAUCUGUUUUAAGACCACCUCAACUCUCAUACACACCUUGGAUCGGCAAACAUCCCACCUUGAGGAUGUAAGAAGAUAUUUUAGAAGUGUCUUCUCUUUAUCACCACCCGAUGGUGCAUCUCGAAGGAUGCUGCUUACCUGUUCUCUUUAUCACCACCCAAUGGACAGAUUUGAAUCGAUGGCAGACGGGCCCUCUAAACCCACUCCAACUUCUGUCUUUCUCUCAGCCCACUUGGGAUCUGCAGUGUAAUACACCGCAGACUAAAUCUGGUGAUACUCCUGCAGUAUUUGAAGCAUGGGUGGCUGCAUAAUGAGCAGGUCUGGCCUUGGGGGUAGCAGAGCAGCAGGCAGGCAGAGGGCUUGUGCAGAGAGGAGACCAGAGAGGCAGUAAAAGUCAGCAGUGGUAACCUUGUCCGCCCAUGGUCACGGGUCAUUUGGCAAGUGCGCUACGGAAUUCAUUUCACUAAGAAGGAGAGAAUGCGAGGGGAGAGCGAACGAGAGGAAAUAGGAGGUGACUGAGAGGGACAUUGAUGGAGCAAGAAGGAGAAGAAGAAUUUGAAUAGCAACAACAGCCUGAUGUCUCUUUUAACCUUUUUUAUCCAUAAACAUGGCAGCAUUAGGCUGUUUAAUGAUCAUUGUGCAGCUAUUUCUAAUGGAUUAUCUUAGUAAACAUCACAUCACCAUAGUAUUUUUAGACGCUUUUGCAUUCUGCCAAAAUGCUUAUGUAAAUGGAGUGUUUGGCCAAAAUUGCCUCCAAGUGCACAUCAUAUAUAUAUACAUUCAUUAGUGCUGUCAAGCAAUUAGUCACAAUUAAUCGCACCCAGAAUAAAAGUUUUUGUUUACGUAA